rnacentral:rRNA from 1 species
AAUUCGAUGCAACGCGAAGAACCUUACCUGGUCUUGACAUCCCGGAGACCCUUAGGAAACUAGGGGUGCUCCAUCUGGAAGAAUCUGGAGACAGGUGCUGCAUGGCUGUCGUCAGCUCGUGUCGUGAGAUGUUGGGUUAAGUCCCGCAACGAGCGCAACCCUUGCCUUUAGUUGCCAGCAGUUCGGCUGGGCACUCUAAAGGGACUGCCGGUGUUAAACCGGAGGAAGGUGGGGAUGACGUCAAGUCCUCAUGGCCUUUAUGACCAGGGCUACACACGUACUACAAUGGCCGAUACAAAGGGCAGCGACACUGCGAGGUGAAGCCAAUCCCGUAAAAUCGGUCUCAGUCCGGAUUGGAGUCUGCAACUCGACUCCAUGAAGUUGGAAUCGCUAGUAAUCGUGGAUCAGCAUGCCACGGUGAAUACGUUCCCGGGCCUU